rnacentral:rRNA from 1 species
GACGAACGCUGGCGGUAUGCUUAACACAUGCAAGUCGAACGAGACGAGAUGGAAGGAUCCUUCGGGUGACGGAAAUCUUAGAAAGUGGCGAACGGGUGAGUAACGCGUGGGUAACCUGCCCUAUGGAAAGGAAUAGCCUCGGGAAACUGGGAGUAAUGCCUUAUAGUAUAUCGGGAUCGCAUGAUGCUGAUAUGAAACGCUCCGGUGCCAUAGGAUGGACCCGCGUCCCAUUAGCUAGUUGGUGAGAUAACAGCCCACCAAGGCGACGAUGGGUAACCGGUCUGAGAGGGCGAACGGUCACACUGGAACUGAGACACGGUCCAGACUCCUACGGGAGGCAGCAGUGGGGAAUAUUGCGCAAUGGGGGAAACCCUGACGCAGCAAUACCGCGUGAGUGAAGAAGGUUUUCGGAUCGUAAAGCUCUGUUAUUGGGGAAGAAAAAAGACGGUACCCAAGAAGAAAGUCCCGGCUAACUACGUGCCAGCAGCCGCCGUAAGAC